rnacentral:rRNA from 1 species
GACGAACGCUGGCGGCGUGCUUAACACAUGCAAGUCGAACGGAAAGGCCUCUUUCGGGGGGUACUCGAGUGGCGAACGGGUGAGUAACAGGUGAGUAACCUGCCCUUGACUUUGGGAUAACUUCAGGAAACUGGGGCUAAUACCGGAUAGGAGCUCCUGCUGCAUGGUGGGGGUUGGAAAGUUUCGGCGGUUGGGGAUGUACUCGCGGCUUAUCAGCUUGUUGGUGGGGUAGUGGCUUACCAAGGCUUUGACGGGUAGCCGGCCUGAGAGGGUGACAGGCCACAUUGGGACUGAGAUACGGCCCAGACUCCUACGGGAGGCAGCAGUGGGGAAUAUUGCACAAGGGGUGGAAGCCUGAUGCAGUAACGCCGUGUGCGGGAUGACGGCCUUCGGGUUGUAAAACGCUUUCGCUCAUGACGAAGCUUUGUGUGACGGUAGUGGGUAAAGAAGCACCGGCUAACUACGUG